CCCAAUCAGGAUCACACAAGCAGCCUGGGGGAAACAGGCGGUCACACGUGGGGCCCAGGUGGCUCUCUGCCUUCGGCUGGCCCCAGCAGCACAGCGCUGGCUCACGGAGAUGUGGAGUGACAGGGAGGCGGCAAGCGGCCUCUUUCCGGCGCCCGACAUUUUCCGGAUGCCGAUGCCUUUCAGUGUUUCACAGAAACAAUAAGAACCUGCACUCCAGCUGUCGGUGAUCCCGAUGAAGUGUCCUUCAUCUCUGCUGAAUCAAUAUGGUCAUUCUUUAACAGAAUAAUGACUUAUUUUUAUUGAGCACAUCCUAUCUUCCAGACAUUCUGCUAAAGGUUUUAUGUGCUUGA